AUACUUACCUGGUAGAGGAGAUACCAUGAUCACAAAGGUGGUUCUCCCAAAGCGAGGCUUAUCCAUUGCACUCCAGAUGUGCUGACCCCUGCGAUUUCCCCAAAUGUGGGAAACUCGACUGUAUAAGUUGUGGUAGUAGGGGACUGUGUUCUCGCUCUCCCCUG
rnacentral:snRNA from 1 species